GAGCACAUACAAUUAUUGUGUUGGAUCUUGCAAAGGUCCAGUUUAGUAUGUAGAUACUUGUGCUUU
rnacentral:tRNA from 1 species